UGGGGAAUUUUGGACAAUGGGGGCAACCCUGAUCCAGCAAUGCCGCGUGUGUGAAGAAGGCCUUCGGGUUGUAAAGCACUUUUGUCCGGGAAGAAAUCCCCUGCCCUAAUACGGCGGGGGGAUGACGGUACCGGAAGAAUAAGCACCGGCUAACUACGUGCCAGCAGCCGCGGUAAUACGUAGGGUGCGAGCGUUAAUCGGAAUUACUGGGCGUAAAGCGUGCGCAGGCGGUGAUGUAAGACCGAUGUGAAAUCCCCGGGCUCAACCUGGGAACUGCAUUGGUGACUGCAUUGCUCGAGUAUGGCAGAGGGGGGUGGAAUUCCACGUGUAGCAGUGAAAUGCGUAGAGAUGUGGAGGAACACCGAUGGCGAAGGCAGCCCCCUGGGCCAAUACUGACGCUCAUGCACGAAAGCGUGGGGAGCAAACAGGAUUAGAUACCCUGGUAGUCCACGCCCUAAACGAUGUCAACUGGUUGUCGGGCCUUCAUUGGCUUGGUAACGUAGCUAACGCGUGAAG
rnacentral:rRNA from 1 species